rnacentral:misc_RNA from 1 species
UGGGACUGCUCUUGUUGACAUGUAUUGUAAAUUGGGUGAUUUAGAAUUGGCAAGAAAAGUAUUUGAUAAAAUGCCCAAGAAAGAUGUUAUAACGUGGAAUGUAAUGAUUUUGGGUUUGUCACAGAGUGUGAAUCCUCAAGAGGCACUGGGGUUUAUUAGGAAUAUGCAAUUGGUUGGUAUGGAGCCUGAUUUAGUAAGCAUUGUCAAUUUGGUUCCAGCUGUUUCAAGUUUGGGUGAUAUUGAUGCUUGUAGUACCAUACAUGGUUAUGUGAUUAGGAGGGGUUUUGAUGCAGUUGUUUCGAAUGGGUUAAUUGAUAUGUACUCUAAGUGUGGGAACAUUGAUGUGGCUAGUCAGGUCUUCAAACAAAUGCAAGACAGGAAUGAUAUUUCAUGGAUAACAAUGAUGACAGGGUAUGCACAUAAUGAAUGCUUCUUUGAGGUUUUGGACUUGUUUGAUUGCAUGAAGAGAGGGAAUGUUAGGUUGAAUUAUGUAUCAAUUGUAAAUGCUCUUUUGGCUGCUGCAGAGAUGAGAGAUUUAAGGAGAGGGAAAGAAAUUCAUGAUUAUGCUAGAAAACAAAAAAUUGACUCGGAUGUUUUGAUUGCUACUGCUUUGAUGACUAUGUAUGCAAAAUUUGGAGAUCCAGAUGCAGCUAAAUCUUUGCUUCAAGGGCUUAAAGGAAGGGAUUUGGUUGCUUGGUCAGCAAUCAUAGCUGCUCUUGUUCAAUCAGGGUAUCCUGAAGAUGCACUGUCAUUAUUUCGGGAGAUGCAGAAUGAUUGUUUGAAAGCAAAUAAUGUUACCCUCAUGAGUGUACUUUCAGCUUGUGCGGAAGUAUUGUGCCCAAGAAUAGGUAAAAGCGUGCACUGUUAUGCUGUUAAAAGCCAUAUUGAUUUAGAUAUCUCACUUGGAACAACCUUAGUUUCUAUGUAUGCUAAAUGUGGAUUCUUUGCUUCUGCAUUGACUAUAUUCAAUAGAAUGCCAUGUAAAGAUAUUGUUAUGUGGAAUGCUUUGAUAAAUGGGUACACCCAGAAUGGUGACCCUUAUCAUGCAAUGGAGAUUUUCCAUGAAGUGCAGGUAUCUGAAAUAUGCCCAGACUCAGGAACCAUGGUGGGUUUGCUUUCAGCAUGUGUCCUAUCAUAUGACCAAGGCCAAGGAUCCUGCAUCCAUGGAAAAAUAAUUAGGUAUGGCUUUGAAUCUCAAUGUCAUGUAAAAAAUGCUCUUAUUGACAUGUAUGCCAAAUGUGGAAGCCUUUCCAUUGCUGAAUUCUUGUUUAAGGGAACUGAUUUUAAAAAGGAUGAGGUAUCUUGGAAUGUACUGAUUGCGGGAUAUGUGCACAGUGGACAUGCCAAAGAAGCUAUUUCUGCAUUUUGCCAGAUGAAAUUAGAGAAUUUUCAUCCUAAUCUAGUCACAAUUGUGAGUGUCCUUCCUGCUGUAGCAUGUCUGUCAUCCUUAACGGAAGGCAUGGCUUUUCAUGCCUGCAUUAUCAGAAUGGGAUUUGAGUAUAAUAUACUUGUCCAGAAUUGUCUUAUUGAUAUGUAUGCCAAAUGUGGGCAGCUUCAUAACUCAGAGAACCUAUUUUAUGGGAUGAAGAGUAAAAACACUGUUUCAUGGAAUGUGAUGCUCACAGGGUAUGCAGUUCAUGGGCAAGGGCACCAUGCUAUUGAACUUUUCUCACUUAUGCAAAAGAGUGAUAUCAGGGUUGAUUCUAUAUCCUUCCUCAGUGUGUUGUCUGCUUGUAGACAUGCAGGUUUAAUAGAUGAAGGGAGGACCAUAUUUGAUGCCAUGUGCAAAAAGCACCAUCUUGAACCAGGUUUGGAACACUAUGCUUGCAUGGUUGAUCUAUUAGGUCGUGCUGGAUUAUUUGAUGAAAUAUUGCAUUUAAUCAAGGCAAUGCCAUUGGAACCUGAUGCCAGAGUGUGGGGUGCCUUACUGGGUGCAUGUAAAAUGCAUUCUAAAAUCCUGUUAGCAGAAUUUGCAGUAGAUCAUCUUCUUAAACUUGAGCCUAAGAAUCCAACCCAUCAUGUAGUUUUAUCAAAUAUCUAUGCUAAAUCUGCAAGGUGGGGAGAUGCAGGCGACACAAGAUCAAAGAUGAUCAAUACAGGGCUGAGAAAAGGCCCAGGAUGGAGUUGGGUGUGACGCAGUGCACCAAUAUAAGGUAUACUUGCAUUUGGAGUGGGUGAUAAGGGCUAUUCAUGAGUAAGGAAUGUGGCUUCAUUCUGAAACAUUUAUUUUAAGAAGAUUGGAAAAGAAUAUUAUAUGUUUCCAGACAGGACUGGUUUGCUACAGGAUGUGGAGGAGAGAACUGUUGCUUUUAAAGCAUAGCUGAUGUUAGCCAUAGUUUUUGCUCCUCUGGAGCCCAGAUGCUUGUCCAGAAGUGUAAGAAUUUCUAUAUUUCCACUGAUCAUUGCCUUACCUUACGUAUCCUUACAAAAAUGCCCAACCUGCAAGAUGAAAACUCAUUGUUUGAGAAACUGCUAGUUAGUCAUUCCCUUCAUUUUGUUGUGCUAUCUGCUUGUGCAGUUAUUAUGAAGAAGUACAAACACUUCUUCGCUUACAAAUUUGCAAGCAGUGUAUGCAAGAAGCUUGCUGCUGUGAGGAGUAUUAAUCUUUAGCACUCAAGAUUUAAUGAACAGCUCCCUUGAUGAAGAUUUGACUGGUUAUAGUUCCAUGAAAUAGUAGUCUGAGAUCCACAAUGGAUGGGCCUUGAGCAGGGAAAAUAAUAUAAACUUGCAAUAAAACUUCCUACAGUUGCAAGAGCAUAUUGAUCAAGGCCUAUCAAUGAUCAUUUCAUUGCUUUGACUUACUGAUCAUUACAUUAUAUUGGAAGGUAUCUCAUAUAUUAUUCAUGCGGAAGCUUGGAAUGAUUUUUCCAAAGAGGAAAAGAUUAACACUCAGCUCUACAAGUUACAGCAUCUUCUUGAAAGGAGCAGGAGAUUGAGCCACUGAAACACAAUUGCUAUACUCAUCAUUGCUUCUUGCCAAAUAUUCCAACAAGCUAGAUUUAAAACUUGGACCAUGAGCAAUGUGGUUCACAGAAUUGUCAAGGCAAGGUUUUCCCAUGAAAAGCAGCUCGAUGAACGUUCUUCAGUGGGAAUUCCAUUCUCAAGUAUUGCUACCAAUAUCUCUUUUCCAUGAUUUGCUGUUGUAAUUGAGGUAUUUUUCAUAUAUCCAAAGGUAUUAAUACACAGAUACAUAUAUGUAUGCAAUCAUAUCCUAUACAAUUUUCUUGUGAACAAGAUGGUUUGGCUGCCUGCAGAUGUUGCCAGAGAUCCUUGUGUUUUAUGUUAUAGUUUGGAGAAGAGG